UAGGAGACGUGCUCAUCACGAGGUUUCAAGUUUGCUUUAGUAUUUUACUUAUUUUCUUUCCAAAAACAAUGGCUUUGUAUUUGUAGUUUUAUUUGUUUCCUUUGUUGCAUUUUUACAUUUAUUUCGGCCUUAGGGCUAGCUGAAGGACUCUUAUAAAGUCCCCCUGCAGCAGUUGUACGAGUUUUUUACCCUAUUAUCAAUAAAGAACCCGAAUUUUCUUCAA
rnacentral:lncRNA from 1 species